rnacentral:piRNA from 1 species
UAAUUGAUUUGGUGAUGAUGAUCUG